rnacentral:lncRNA from 1 species
UCCUUCACGAGCGAUGCAACAGCUUGGAGGUGCUCCUCAACGUCACCUGGUAUCUGCGCAGUUCCCGUUGCCACAACGAGAUCCACAUUGACGAAAACGAAGCGCUGUCUUACCUCAGGAACCACGAGGAUGCCACCAGCACCACAGGGGAUGGCCAGUAUGUUUGGUACAGUGGCCAGAUCAGCUGUGGCUCGCUCCAUGAGGUGGGAGAUCCGAAGUAAAGACGACUGAGUGUCAGACUGUCACGAGCAGGGAGGGGAGCUCACGUUUCCCCUGUGCUCCGAAAAGUUCUCUCUUGUUUUUGGACUCCAGUUCCUGGGAUCUCCCUGCUAGCUGGAGGAUUCUGGGAGCGACACGCCUUUCAGACAGGGAGCUGAUCCGGCUUCCGGGGUCUGGUGGCCUUACAUCGGGUUACCCCCUCGGUCCCUCUGGCCCUGGGUUCCUAACCUUGCCUAGCAGUGACGGCCUUUCUGGAUUUGAGCCAGGAUUCUUUUCCUGGACCCACCAGGAGAGGAGAUCCCAGACCCAACUGGGAUUGGGUGCGGAGGGGGGGGUGGGGGAAUCUGCCUGCUAGGCUCUUCGGUCAAGCUACACCCCCUCCCCCUCCCCAUCCCAGAAGUAGCGACCGCUCGCCCAUCCCUUUCCUUGUGGUUUUUCCUCCAAGGUUUUGGGAGGAAGGGACCUUGAGAGGCAACGGGAUGGGGGUGGGAUGGGGGUGGAGGGUGUCCUGCGGCUGCCUUGUGCAGGGAAGGGAGGUGUGUGUCCGGAAGGGUGCCCCUCAGGGGGCAAUUCCCACUUUAUUUGCAGCUCGAUCCCUCAAAAAGAGCCUGGGCAGAAGUUAAAGGAGGGCUCUGGAGUCCAAGGAGAAAGCCGGGCUUCUUUUUGACCAAGGGGAAGGAAGGCGGCUUUUGGUCAGGGAGUAGCCCUUUCAGUCGGGAGCAGGGCAUGGGGGGGGGGCUCUCCAGAUGGUUCCUGCCUAUGACCCCCACUGGCCCCAGGAGCGGGGGAGGGGGAGGGGGAUGUUCCAUGCUGCUCACUUUGGCCACUCUGGCCACCACCUUCAGCCGAUUGGUGGCUACUGGAUCAGAACCACGAGGGGGUCAGGUUGGGGGUGGGGUGGGAGGAAGGCGUGGUGAGGGAGGGGCGACUGGCACACCUGACUUGAACCACCCAUCCACCCCUCUCCGUUCCCUUCUGUUUCAGCUGCACUUUUCGGAGCUGCCCGAGCCUCGGAGGCUGCGGCCUUUACAAGAUCAGCUGACAGCCGCCAAUCUGGUGAAGAAGACGGAGGCCUCCCAGCUUCCAGGGAGUGAGAAGGGAAAGGAGACGGAACACAGCCCGGCAGCCAAAGCCGGGGAAAAGCCCGAGGAGGCCCACGUCGAGAAACCCAAGGAAGGCCAGGCAGGGCAGCCCUCUCCUGUGGCCGGCAAGAAAGCCAGCAAAGAGGCCAAGAAGAAAACCACUCUGGCACCUCACAGGCGAGAGCCUUCCGCCGUGGCUGCCACCUGGGACGAUGGGCCGUACGUCUUCAUCCUCGGGAUCAAGAGCCCGUCGGCCAACUGGGAGCUGCAGAGUGAGUGGAGCCGGCCGGUCCGACGUUCCACAGCAGACCCAUUGAGAGGGCUCCUGGGGACCUGGGGCCAGUCCUGGGGCUGAAGGGCCACACGGGAUAAGCGGCCUUCCCGGCAGUAUUUGCAGGCUUCCCUUCGGGUCUCUUCCUUGUGGACUAGCACCCUAGUCAUAAAAUAUAAGCCUGAGGAUCAGGAAAGGGUUGCAGCAUAAACAGAUUGAAUAAGGAACUCAUAAUGACAUCAGGAGAUUACUUUCUGCUACACCAUGGCCACCAGCAGCAGUUAAAAAACCGUUGAGAAGUUUGUUCUCUCUCUCUCUCUCUCUCUCUCUCUCUCUCUGUGUGUGUGUGUGUGUGUGUGUGUGUGUGUAAUGCUUGUUUAAGCACAAGAAGGGAAAUACAAAAAAGGUAUUCUGGGUGGGGAGAAUAAAAAUGUCUUAUCUCAAGAUGACGGCCGGCUU